AAGUCGUAACAAGGUUUCCGUAGGUGAACCUGCGGAAGGAUCAUUAACACGUAUCCAACGUUAAACCCCCUGUGAACCUUCAUUGUGCUCCCACGCUUUGUUAGAAAGUAGCAAUCCCUGGUAAAUCAUCGCCGAACAGUUUUGAUUCAGGGACUUCUGCGAAGAGGGUGAUGUAGCGCGAGGCAAUGGACCGGGCAUUCCUCUGCUUGUUGGUGUCUGAAAUUGUCACUAACUCUGUACGAAUGGCGCAUAGUCACGUUUGCAUGAAAACGGGCCUGCGCUUAAUUGUGCGGCCACCAAACUCGAACAACUGUUAACAAUGGAUAUCUUGGUUCUC
rnacentral:misc_RNA from 1 species